rnacentral:rRNA from 1 species
GAUGAACGCUGGCGGCGUGCCUAAUACAUGCAAGUCGAGCGAACGGACGAGAAGCUUGCUUCUCUGAUGUUAGCGGCGGACGGGUGAGUAACACGUGGAUAACCUACCUAUAAGACUGGGAUAACUUCGGGAAACCGGAGCUAAUACCGGAUAAUAUUUUGAACCGCAUGGUUCAAAAGUGAAAGACGGUCUUGCUGUCACUUAUAGAUGGAUCCGCGCUGCAUUAGCUAGUUGGUAAGGUAACGGCUUACCAAGGCAACGAUGCAUAGCCGACCUGAGAGGGUGAUCGGCCACACUGGAACUGAGACACGGUCCAGACUCCUACGGGAGGCAGCAGUAGGGAAUCUUCCGCAAUGGGCGAAAGCCUGACGGAGCAACGCCGCGUGAGUGAUGAAGGUCUUCGGAUCGUAAAACUCUGUUAUUAGGGAAGAACAUAUGUGUAAGUAACUGUGCACACCUUGACGGUACCUAAUCAGAAAGCCACGGCUAACUACGUGCCAGCAGCCGCGGUAAUACGUAGGUGGCAAGCGUUAUCCGGAAUUAUUGGGCGUAAAGCGCGCGUAGGCGGUUUUUUAAGUCUGAUGUGAAAGCCCACGGCUCAACCGUGGAGGGUCAUUGGAAACUGGAAAACUUGAGUGCAGAAGAGGAAAGUGGAAUUCCAUGUGUAGCGGUGAAAUGCGCAGAGAUAUGGAGGAACACCAGUGGCGAAGGCGACUUUCUGGUCUGUAACUGACGCUGAUGUGCGAAAGCGUGGGGAUCAAACAGGAUUAGAUACCCUGGUAGUCCACGCCGUAAACGAUGAGUGCUAAGUGUUAGGGGGUUUCCGCCCCUUAGUGCUGCAGCUAACGCAUUAAGCACUCCGCCUGGGGAGUACGACCGCAAGGUUGAAACUUAAAGGAAUUGACGGGGACCCGCACAAGCGGUGGAGCAUGUGGUUUAAUUCGAAGCAACGCGAAGAACCUUACCAAAUCUUGACAUCCUUUGACAACUCUAGAGAUAGAGCUUUCCCCUUCGGGGGACAAAGUGACAGGUGGUGCAUGGUUGUCGUCAGCUCGUGUCGUGAGAUGUUGGGUUAAGUCCCGCAACGAGCGCAACCCUUAAGCUUAGUUGCCAUCAUUAAGUUGGGCACUCUAAGUUGACUGCCGGUGACAAACCGGAGGAAGGUGGGGAUGACGUCAAAUCAUCAUGCCCCUUAUGAUUUGGGCUACACACGUGCUACAAUGGACAAUACAAAGGGCAGCGAAACCGUGAGGUCAAGCAAAUCCCAUAAAGUUGUUCUCAGUUCGGAUUGUAGUCUGCAACUCGACUACAUGAAGCUGGAAUCGCUAGUAAUCGUAGAUCAGCAUGCUACGGUGAAUACGUUCCCGGGUCU